rnacentral:piRNA from 1 species
UGACAGUGAUCUUCACCUCAUCUGCACC